UACGUAGGGGGCUAGCGUUGUCCGGAAUCAUUGGGCGUAAAGAGCGUGUAGGCGGUCCGGUAAGUCCGCUGUGAAAGUCGGGGGCUCAACCCUCGAAUGCCGGUGGAUACUGUCGGGCUAGAGUGCGGAAGAGGCGAGUGGAAUUCCUGGUGUAGUGGUGAAAUGCGCAGAUAUCAGGAGGAACACCUAUUGCGAAGGCAGCUCGCUGGGACGUAACUGACGCUGAGACGCGAAAGCGUGGGGAGCAAACAGG
rnacentral:rRNA from 1 species